GUUUGAAAUGUCUUAAGAAAUUGAAUUUUGGGCGGAAAAAAGAAAAGAAGGUCUUAGAAAAUGUUUGCUUCAGAAAUACGAAAUGUUAACGUUGGAUGUUAUUCUAAGUGUGUGGCACUCCAGUUUACGUGAGAAACUCUACCAUGGGAUGCACGCACAGGUCCAUCUCGCAUUCAGGGUCCCGGUCAAGCAUUUCUGCGUGGCCUGUGGCUCUGGAGCUUACUUUAUAAUGGAGGAGUGAAGUCAUCUGUUAAGUGGGUGCCUUUGCUUGAAGGCAAACAGCUGAUUGAGGCUAAUUAGAGAGAGGUGCAGGUUAGGACAAGAAGGCGCAGACAGAAGUACAGCUCCUGGAUCUAACUCAUGGCACUUCACAGAAA
rnacentral:lncRNA from 1 species